rnacentral:lncRNA from 1 species
AUCGGUCACCAGAGUCAACAACUCAGACGGAGUAACUCAAACAAAGUGGAAUACCCACAGAGAAGAGCACUACCAAAUGAGUCUCGUCCGGCUUGUGGUACAUCAUGCUGCCAGGCACAUAUUAACCUAACACGAAAGAGGCGACAUGAGACCACACUAGUCCUAGGUGUAUACUCGGGCCUGGGUUUUAGCCCCACUCGGAAC